rnacentral:pre_miRNA from 1 species
UCUUUGGUUUUCUUUAGCUGUGUGAUUGCAAUAAAGACACUAUUAUAAUUGGACCUCAGCCCAUCUUCAAUAGUGAUCAUAUCAGUUAGAAACUAAAGAAA